UUUUUACCAAUGAUACGUGGCCAUACAGUCACAUGACCAGUUUGAAACCGUGGCGGGCAGAGCGGCCCAAGCAUUUCAAAGUAGCGGACACACGGAAAGAAGAAAUAUGAUGGCAGAGUCUACGCUGGAGCUGAAGAGGCUGAACACCUUUGGCCUCACAUACAAAGAAUGUUUCGCUUAAAAGCAGCACAAAAGAACAGCUGUCUCUGCAGUGUCGGUGUCUUCAGGGAGAGCCAAAACAAACCAACUUUUCAGCGUGAAACCACUGAGGAAACGGUCUCCUCUUCAUCAGACAUCACCUAGACCCCGAGCUGGGUGAGGCCAGCACAAACAGCGGCCUAUUCGAUGAAGAUGAUGGAUCCAUGGGGUCAGGAAAGCCAGUAGCAGAGGAACUGGAGAGGUACCUUUCAUGUCACUUCACUGGAGGUGUGGAGCUAUUGCAUGGCUUUCCUCACAUCAAGAAGCUGUCGAUCAAAGUUAAUACAGCUCUUCCUGCAUCUGCAGCCUGUGAGAGACUUUUUAGUCAUGCAGGACUCCUGUUCACUGCCAAAUGGUCACAGCUUCACAGCAAGAACCUUGAGAGCCAACUGCUGCUGAAGCACCAUUUCACUGACUGAAGAAACAAUUUAUGGUAAAGUGAGCCAUACACAUAUGUACAUCCACAUAGUGGGAAUUUGUAUUUGUCUUUUAUAAUUAGUUUUACUCUGAUUUCAGUGUUUAUUUGUGAGUGUAGUUUUUACAUAUUACAUUGUGUUAAUCCACUGUCUAUACUUCAGGGUAUUUUAGUAUACAAAAUAAGUUUUGUUAGAAUGCCUAUUCCUGUGGAAUUUUAGCACAGGUGUGUUGUUUUUUUGUUUUUUUUUUAUUCCUGCUGUCCGCCUUGGGAAUAAACUUUUCCUGAUUAUA